GUGUACCGGAAGGUGCCCCUGGAAAGUUCNAAGUGGAGCUUGAUUAGUUAAGCAUUUCAUUUACACUGAAAAGUCACUGUGCGAUUCAGUUUACUUUGAUAAAGAUUUAUUUACUGAUAGUUUUUAAGAAAAGGUUAUUUUUAAUAAAAUCAUUUUUAUGUAGAUGUGUUUAUGUAUAGGAUAUAGAUAAAAUUUAAAGAGUGGUAGUUAAUUAGUAUUGUGAAAGAUUAUUGAAAUAUAAUGAAAAAUUAUUUAUUUAAAAGUAGGUUUAAUUUACCGUACCUUGUGUAUCAGGGUUUAUUAAAAUAUUAAUGAUGAUUAAUCAUUAAUCCCGAUUUAAAGAGAGCUAAUUAGGUGUGUUAGUUAAUGUGGAAUAAUUAUUAAUAACACUUAAUUAGUAAUGAAACGUUAUCCGUUCUUUAAGAUAUCUGGUUUUUUAAGAAAUGAAUUUAAUUCAGGUAGUAUUUUUUUUUUAUUAAUUUUAGUAUUAGAAGUUAAUAGUAAUUAUUACUAAUAUAUUGGGGGAUGAGCUUCAGUAUAUUUUUAUAAAAGUUAAUUGGUUUAAAAAUGUUGUAGGCUUAGAGUUAGCCAUCGAUAAAAGGAUGUUAUAAUUUAUAUUUUGUUAAAACGAUUUUCAAGUUAUUUAAAUUUUACAUUAAAAUGUUAUUUAUAAUUAUAGAAAUAUAGUAAUGAUGAUGAAAUUAGUAUAAAAGUUGUUAGUGAUUUUAAUUUAAUGUAAGGUUACAUUAAGGAACUAGGCAAAUUAAUGCUCGCCUGUUUAACAAAAACAUGUCUUCUUGUGAAUAAUUUGAAGUCUGACCUGCCCACUGAUUAAUUUAUUGAAGGGCCGCGGUAUAUUGACCGUGCAAAGGUAGCAUAAUCAUUAGUCUUUUUAUUGAAGGCUUGUAUGAAUGGUUGGACGAGGUAUUGACUGUCUCUGUGUAGAUGAUAAUAGAAUUUAACAUUUAAGUUAAAAGGCUUAAUUGUAUUAAAG
rnacentral:rRNA from 1 species